AGUGAACGCUGGCGGUAGGCCUAACACAUGCAAGUCGAACGGCAGCACAGUAAGAGCUUGCUCUUACGGGUGGCGAGUGGCGGACGGGUGAGGAAUACAUCGGAAUCUACUUUUUCGUGGGGGAUAACGUAGGGAAACUGACGCUAAUACCGCAUACGUCCUACGGGUGAAAGCAGGGGAUCUUCGGACCUUGCGCGAUUGAAUGAGCCGAUGUCGGAUUAGCUAGUUGGCGGGGUAAAGGCCCACCAAGGCGACGAUCCGUAGCUGGUCUGAGAGGAUGAUCAGCCACACUGGAACUGAGACACGGUCCAGACUCCUACGGGAGGCAGCAGUGGGGAAUAUUGGACAAUGGGCGCAAGCCUGAUCCAGCCAUACCGCGUGGGUGAAGAAGGCCUUCGGGUUGUAAAGCCCUUUUGCUGGGAAAGAAAAGCAGCAGGUUAAUACCCCGCUGUUCUGACGGUACCCAAAGAAUAAGCACCGGCUAACUUCGUG
rnacentral:rRNA from 1 species